rnacentral:rRNA from 1 species
GACGAACGCUGGCGGCGUGCCUAAUACAUGCAAGUAGAACGCUGAAGGAGGAGCUUGCUUCUCUGGAUGAGUUGCGAACGGGUGAGUAACGCGUAGGUAACCUGCCUGGUAGCGGGGGAUAACUAUUGGAAACGAUAGCUAAUACCGCAUAAUAUUGACUACUGCAUGAUAGUCAGUUGAAAGGUGCAACUGCACGACUACCAGAUGGACCUGCGCUGUAUUAGCUAGUUGGUGGGGUAAAGGAUCACCAUGGCGAGGAUACAUAGCCGCACGGAGAGGGGGGGCGGCCGCACUGGGACUGAGACACGGCCCAGACUCCUACGGGAGGCAGCAGUAGUGAAUCUUCGGCAAGGGGCGGAAGUCUGACCGAGCAACGCCGCGGGAGUGAAGAAGGUUUUCGGAUCGUAAAGCUCGGUUGUAAGAGAAGAACGAGUGUGAGAGUGGAAAGCUCACACUGUGACGGUAUCUUACCAGAAAGGGACGGCUAACUACGUG